rnacentral:rRNA from 1 species
GAUAAACGCUGGCGGCGUGCAUAACACAUGCAAGUCGAACGAUGAAGAUUAAAAGAGUUCUUCGGAAUGAACUUAAUUGGAUUAGUGGCGGACGGGUGAGUAACGCGUGAGUAACCUGCCUUGUACAAGGGGAUAGCCGUUGGAAACGACGAAUAAUACCCUAUGACAUCAAAUAAUCGCAUGAUAAUUUGAUCAAAGAUUUAUCGGUAUAAGAUGGACUCGCGUCUGAUUAGCUAGUUGGUAGAGUAAAAGCCUACCAAGGCAACGAUCAGUAGCCGGCUUGAGAGAGUGUACGGCCACAUUGGGACUGAGACACGGCCCAGACUCCGACGGGAGGCAGCAGUGGGGAAUUUUGCACAAUGGGGGAAACCCUGAUGCAGCGACGCCGCGUGAUUUAGAAGGCCUUCGGGUUGUAAAAAUCUUUUGUAUGGGAAGAAAAUGACAGUACCAUACGAAUAAGGACCGGCUAAUUACGUG